UACGGAGGGUGCGAGCGUUGUCCGGAAUCACUGGGCGUAAAGGGCGCGUAGGCGGCUCAUGAAGGCUGUGGUGAAAGUCCGGGGCUCAACCUCGGAUCGGCCGUGGCGACUCGUGGGCUGGAGCACUGUAGAGGCGGGUGGAAUUCCUGGUGUAGCGGUGAAAUGCGCAGAUAUCGGGAAGAACACCCGUGGCGAAGGCGGCUCUCUGGGACGGUACUGACGCUGAGACGCGAAAGCGUGGGGAGCGAACAGG
rnacentral:rRNA from 1 species